AAGGGCACCACAAGAACGCGUGGAGCAUGUGGCUUAAUUUGACUCAACGCGGGAAAUCUUACCGGGUCCGGACACACUGAGGAUUGACAGGCAAUAUUAAUACGUUUUGCUUCGGUAAUCGUAUUAUGUUAAAUAUGCUAGUCCUUUCAUGAUUAUGUGAUAGGUGGUGCAUGGCCGUUCUUAGUUCGUGGAGUGAUCUGUCUGCUUAAUUGCGUUUCACUAAGGGCCUAUAAAUUUACGUGUGUUGCAUCGCACUUUGACCCCUUUCUUUAAUUAGAGAGCGCGUGUCUUAGUUUUCGCUUUGCUCAUACAAUUAGGUCCUGAAAGCAACGAACGUGACCGCAACCUCUUGUUGCCUUUAUACCAAACAUGUUUUGCGUCAAUUUUCGAAUUGCGCGCAUUUCAUGAAAAAAGGCUUUUUAAACUAGAGGGACCGCUGUUACUUUCUUAAACCAGAGGAAGGUUGCGGCAAUAACAGGUCUGUGAUGCCCUUAGAUGUUCCGGGCUGCACACGUGCUACAAUGAUUAUUGCAGUGAGCAUCUCAUUUUUACACACCGCAUGCGCGAGUCCAUUUAUUCACCUUCGGGUGUUUUAAAUGUGUAUCUCUGCGCGCGGUAAAGCCUGCUUCGACAGUAAGUGGGUAAUCAAUUAGAAGUAAUGAUUUCCUUUUUUUUAGCACACAUAUAUACGGCGUCUAUGCCCGGGUUACCUUGUUGUAGCUUUUGUGCGUAUAGAUGUUUUUUCCGUAUGUGCGAUUGUCAAUUCAUGGUGGGGACAGACCAUUGUUAAUUGUUGGUCUCGGUCUUAACUAGGAAUGCCUUGUACGGGUCUUUGGUUCAACAAACCACCCGGAAUACGUCCCUGCCCUUUGUACACACCGCCCGUCGCUCUUACCGAUGGACUUCUCUGUGAGUUUGAGGGACUGGGAACGCAGGAAUUUAUUUCUGCACACCUAUGGAAACUUAAACGAACAGUGUGGUCUAAAGGAAAGAGAAGUCGUAACAAGGCAUCGGUAGGUGAACCUGCA
rnacentral:rRNA from 1 species